AGUAGUGUUCAACUGGGUUGAGAUCUGAAUCUCCCAGUAGUGUUCAACUGGGUUGAGAUCUGAAUCUCCCAGUAGUGUUCAAUUGGGUUGAGAUCUGAAUCUCCCAGUAGUGUUCAAUUGGGUUGAGAUCUGAAUCUCCCAGUAGUGUUCAAUUGGGUUGAGAUCUGAAUCUCCCAGUAGUGUUCAACUGGGUUGAGAUCUGAAUCUCCCAGUAGUGUUCAAUUGGGUUGAGAUCUGAAUCUCCCAGUAGUGUUCAAUUGGGUUGAGAUCUGAAUCUCCCAGUAGUGUUCAAUUGGGUUGAGAUCUGAAUCUCCCAGUAGUGUUCAAUUGGGUUGAGAUCUGAAUCUCCCAGUAGUGUUCAAUUGGGUUGAGAUCUGAAUCUCCCAGUAGUGUUCAAUUGGGUUGAGAUCUGAAUCUCCCAGUAGUGUUCAAUUGGGUUGAGAUCUGAAUCUCCCAGUAGUGUUCAAUUGGGUUGAGAUCUGAAUCUCCCAGUAGUGUUCAACUGGGUUGAGAUCUGGUGACUGAGACGGCCAUGGCAUGUGGUUUACAUCGUUUUCAUGCUCAUCAAACCAUUCAGUGACCACUGCCAUCCACAGGGCAUGAAACUAAUGGCCCACCCAAAAUUUGUAUACGUGACCCUAAGCAUGAUGGGAUGUUAAUUACUGAAUUUUACUCAGGAACCACGCCUGUGUGGAAGCACCUGCUUUCAAUAUACUUUGUUUCCCUAAUUUACUCCAGUGUUCCCAUUAUUUUAGUAGUUACCUGUAGGUUGAAUAGAGUCACAUAAAGACAAGGACUUGUUGGGCGUGUUUGAUGGGUAAUGCUAAAGUCAGCGACUGUAGACGAGUCGAGGAAGCAGUACGACAUUGUUUCCUGAGAGAGAAAUGGAGGUCUGUGACCGCCUCAAUAGUGCUGCCCAUGCUAUCUCAAUUUUAAAGUAGUCCAUUUUAUUAACUGGCUGGGGCCUCCCAAGUGGCGCAACGGUGCCAAGAGUGUGCAAAGCUGUCAUCAAGGCAAAGGGUGGCUAUUUUGAAGAAUCUCAAAUAUUAAAAUAUAUUCAGAUUUGUUUAACACUUAUUUUUGGUUACUACGUGAUUCUAAGUGUUAUUUCAUAGUUUUGAUGUCUUCACUAUUAUUCUACAAUGUAGAAAAUAGUAAAAAUAAAAUAAAACCCCUUGAAUGAGUAGGUGUUCUAAGACUUUUGACCAGUGGUGUGUAUAUAUGUGUGUGUAUAUAGACCUAUAAAGAAUGAACUGAGUGUACAAAACAUUAGGAUCACCUUCCUCAUAUUGAGCUGCACUUACUUUUGCCCUCAGAACAGCCUCAAUUCACUGGGACGUGGACUGACUCUACAAGGUGUCCAAAGCGUUCCACAGGGAUGCUGGCCCCAUGUUGACUCUACAAGGUGUCUAAAGCGUUCCACAGGGAUGCUGGCCCCAUGUUGACUCUACAAGGUGUCUAAAGCGUUCCACAGGGAUGCUGGCCCCAUGUUGACUCUACAAGGUGUCGAAAGCGUUCCACAGGGAUGCUGGUCCAUGUUGACCCCAACGCUUCCCACAGUUGUGUGAAGUUGUCUGGAUGUCCUUUGGGUGGUGGACCAUUCUUGAUACACACAGGAAACUGUUGAGUGUGAAAAACCCAGCAGCGUUGCAGUUCUUGACACAAACAGGUGCGCCUGGCACCCACUACCAUACCCUGUUCAAAGGCACUUCAAUAUUUUGUGUUGCCCCAUUCACCCUCUGAAUGAUUAAAAAUCUUUCUUUAACCCAUCUCCUCCCCCUCAUCUACACUGAUUUAGUGACAUCAAUAAGGGAUAUUAGCUUUCACCUGGAUUCACCUGGUCAGUCUGUCAUGGAAAGAGCAGGUGUCCUUAAUGUUUUGUACACUCAGUGUAUAGCUAUAUAGCCUGUGUGCUGUGAAUACUACAGAUAUGUAACUAGUGUACAGUUGGUGACUCGUCGACGAGAAUAAAUAUAUUUUAAAUCUGUG